GUGAGGUGCCCAACAGCACAUGGGAAAUCUGUAGCAAAGUCCGGGAUAAUCCCAGUUCUCCUGAUUCCAGUCUAGAGCCUUAAGCACUAGAGCAGUUGUUUUCCUUCUGUAGCCUUCUUCCAGCUUCUUCAGUGAAUGAGACUGUGUUCCUUCACACAGCGGCAGCAUGAAUAGUAGGCAGUAGUCUGGCUUACCACAUGCCAGUAAUGAUCAGCUGGCAGUGAUUUGUAGGCUUCAUGGAGAGUGGAAAGUUUUAAGUAGGGAUUUGAAGUAGGAUAACAUGGUGACCAUAUGGAUUUUGAUGGAGUGUUUCCCUCCAACUAAGGAGUGGCAUGGAGAAGAGGUAGUGCUGAGAAGGGCUUGUAGGAAAAGCAGAGUGGCAGGAAUUGAGUGGUAGAGUGAAGGCAGGGGUCAUCAAUGUGAUCAGAUAGAUCUGAUUGGUGCUAAAUGGUGAAGGGCCAUAAAGGCACAGACAAGGUUGUGGUGGGAAGCCAGUGGAGGGAUGUGAAGUGGAGGUGGGGGCCAUGAGCAGACAAGGAGCUAGGAAGAUAAUGCUCGCAGGAAUGUUUUGACUGGACCUAAGGGGAGGACAAGGUAAGCUAGAGAAGGAGAUGACAGUACUUGAGGUACAACAUAAGGGCCUGGAAGAGAAACUUUGGUAGUCUGGACAGACAGAAAAUGCUGGAUCUCUGGAUCGUUCUGUAAGAAGUUGGAACACUUAAACACAACAAGGAGGUAUGGGUCUAGAAAGAGGGCCAGGUCAAAGAUGAUGCUGAAAUUACAGGCCUGAGUGACUGGGAGGAUCGUGGUGGUAUACAUGGUGAUGAGGGGGGAGAGCAGAGAUGUGGGAUCAGGAAAAGAUCAGAAGCUCAGUUUUGGCCUUAUUCAGUUUAAGUUAACAGCUGGACAUCCCCACAGAGAAGUUUUAGUGGAAUAUCAAAACACCUGUGCUUAUCUGGUUGUCCAUCGUUAAGGAAGAUCUCCUGUUCCAUCUAGAGUUCCUGAUUUCUGACAGCUGUCCUCAAGGUCUCGACCUGAGUUAUGUGAGAAUCAAGACAGACAAGAGUGAGCUAUCUACACCUGAGUUCCUGUCACUCCUAGAGACUGAGUAACAUUAACAUUUUAUUUGUGUUGUGUCCCUAUUGCUUAGGGGUUGGGUCUGGGCUUCAAGUCAACUGUACUUGUAAAACCACUGAGCUGUUUUGUUUUAUUGCCCUUUUCUCUAUUGUUAUGUACCUUUCUGACCGUUUUCAGCUUUUAAAAUGACUGUUUCAUUUGACCUGCAACUAAUAGGUGAUAGACCCUACAGGGGAAUUGAUCCAUUUAGGGCGGUGGGGUCCUUACAUCAAUUCCACUAGUCUCUUCUGGUAAUACAAGGAUGGAUGUGUGCAAGGACUAUGCCUGCAAUGGAUUGUGCACGGUAGUACAAAGUGGACACAGUGUACAGAUGCGAAGCCCAGGGCCUUCUACUCUCCGGCUGAUUUAGAGUCUUUGAGGAGGAUUACUGGGGAGUCCUGAAGACUGUUGGACUUCGUCGCGGGGGGGAGACCCUCUGGGAUGAUGGACACCAGAAAAACAAGACCCUCCACAGCUUCUACGAUCCUGCUCUCCAAACAUCACCUACCACUGAGAUGCACUCACAAUGCCUUGGUAUAAAUGACUACACAAGGUACUGGGCUAUGAAUAAUCAAGCCCACUGUUUAUUUACAUGACAUAAGUGACAAAUACCAUGUUGACAGGUGCUUUAUAAGUGCUAAUAAUAAUACAUAGGCCAAAUUUGGAGGCUUGUACUCCUUUCGCCAUGCCCCAGUACAAACAGAACAAAAUUGUGUUUUAUCUAAAGUACUUCCAAGGCCCCCAUCUCUACAGUAGCUGAGCACCUCCCAGUCUGUUAAGGUAUUUAUGCUCACACCAUGCCUGUGACAUACUAUCAUCCCUAUUUUAUUGAUGGGAAUGAAAGCAUGGAGAGAC